UACGAAGGGGGCUAGCGUUGCUCGGAAUGACUGGGCGUAAAGGGCGCGUAGGCGGUUUGUACAGUCAGGUGUGAAAUUCCGGGCUCAACCUGGGGCUGCACUUGAUACGUAUGGACUGGAGUGGGAAGAGGGUCGUGGAAUUCCCAGUGUAGAGGUGAAAUUCGUAGAUAUUGGGAAGAACACCGGUGGCGAAGGCGGCGACUCG
rnacentral:rRNA from 1 species